GGAGUCUCGCUCUGUUGCCCAGGCAGGAGUGCAGUGGCGUGAUCUCUGCUCACUGCAAGCUCCACCUCCCGAGUUCACGCCAUUCUUCUGCCUCAGCCUCCUGAGUAACUGAGACUACAGGCGCGCACCACCACAUUUGGAUAAUUUUUUUGUAUUUUUAGUAGAGAUGAGGUUACACCUUGUUAACCAGGAUGGUCUCGACCUCCUGACCUUGUGAUCCACCCACCUUGGCCUCCCAAAGUGCUGGGAUUAUAGUCGUGAACCACUGUGCCCGGUCUCUUCUCUGCUUUUUGAGGCAUUAAGAAAGGUUCUCGGGAAAUGUGUCUAAGAUAAUUUUGAGAAACUGCAUGAAACCAGUGUCUCUCCAGGAUCUUUGUGCUUUCCUCAUGUGCCCUUUCUUGAUGGUCUUGACAGGACGAGGUGGGGCCCACCCAUGAGCUGGUCCAGACUUUCUUCUCCACUCACUCCACCAAGAUGGCUUCAAGUCGAGUGAUGCUAUUUUCUGGUUCCAAGCCACUUGGGUCAGAGAAUAUAGAUAAUCAUGGCUAAGCUAGCCUCCAAAGCUGGAAGCUGAAUUGAGUCGAAAAAUAAUGACACGUAUACAAGGUGUGUUUGGAGGAUUGCAGAUGCAGGGGCACCGUACUGCUAAAGGAGUGUUGGAAGCUCACUGCAGAAGACGAUAAAAGCAGACUGAUGUGUAUUACCUGCUGAAAUUGUCAGAGAUGGCUUUGGAUUCCCAGUUCUGUGUGCUCCUGUCUGGCUCCUGAACCCAGCUGGAGAGCUUUGGAGUUUAACCCUUCUGCCAAUCCAGAGGCAAGCACAAUAUUCCAGAGGAACUGUCAAACAGAUGGUGAGACAACAUUGUCUGUAGCUCUGUGUAGUAUCCUAUGGGACUUUGCUGAGGCUUCUUUGGACCAUUCUCUUCCUUUUCUCAAUAAAAACUCAAAUAUCCCAACUUUCCAGUACCCAUCUUAUUUUUUCUUUGUACCUAUCCAGAUGGUACCUAAGUGAAGGAACCAGGUAAGUGCCUAAUUGUUUCCUUUGUUAAAGUAGCUAAAUCUCAGGACAGUUCAUAUUCAGAUAUUCGGGGAUUUCUUAUUUAAAAUCAGAAUAGAGGUUGCCAUGGGAGAGGCAGUAUGGUAUUCUUAAUGGGCUGCUGUAAGUCACCUUGAUAGAGGCUGCUGAGUUUCUUCUAACUGUAAUUUGAACACAGAAGUGGGGGGAAAGAGGGUGUUUAAAAUAAUUGUGAAAGGUGCAAAAUGUCACGACCAGGGAGGCAGAGAAAUGGCUGUGUGUGUGUGGGGGCGGGUAGGGUUUGUCAAAGAAGUUUGCCCAUGAGGCUCUGAUGACUUUAAAAUUCUUACUUUAACACAAAAUGUGUCUCCAGAUUUAUUCUGGUGACUUAACAGAUUUUAUUUACCUCCUUGUUCUAAAAGAUAGGUGAGGUUCAUGGUCAAAACUUUCAAAAGACAUGAAACAUCAAUGUAGACUUUUAAUGUGUAAUAUAAAAAUUGCAGGUUAAAAUCUCUGACCUUCCCUGUAAAGAGUGAUUGUUGCCAUGGCUUCCCCUUUGUCCUUUCCCCUCCUGACAAUAGCAUCUUGUUCAAAGAUAAGAAAAUUGGAGUUUUGCCCAGGCAUGGUGGCUUACGCCUGUAAUACCACCAUUUUGGGAGGCCGAGGCAGGUGGAUCACCUGAGGUCAGGAGUUCGAGACCAGCCUGGCCAACAUGCUGAAACCCUGUCUCUACUAAAAAUACAAAAAUUAGCCAGGUGUGGUGGUGCGCACCUGUAACCCAGCUACUAAAGAGGCUGAGGCAGGAGAAUUGCUUGAACCCGGGAGGCAGAGGUUGCAGUGAGCAGAGAUCACGCCAAUGCACUCCAGCCUGGGUGACAGAGCAAGACCCCAUCUCACAAAAAAAAAAAAAAAAAAAAAAAGAAAAAAAGAAAGUUGGAGUUUUUCAGUCUCUAUCCUUAUGGGAGAGGCAGGGGAUGGGUGGUGGUAGAAAAGAGAAAACAAUUAGUUGAUUUGCCUCUAAAAUUUUGCAAAGAGAUGAAUCUAAGUAAAAGUAAUUCUGGGUAGUAAUAUAGUUCUUGAAUAAAAACUAAAAUUUUCUUGGAAAACAUUACAUCACAACGAAAUUAAAUCCAGUUGGCUUAUUGGUUUCAUUUAAAUGCCAGAGAUUUCAUUCCUGUAGAGGAACAUUCCUGUAGAGGAAAUGUCUUGUAGCUCUUCUAUUUAAACUUUGGUUGGGCUUUUAAGUUUUUAAAAAGUAGGAUAAUUAAGACUCAUGAUGAGUGUGA
rnacentral:lncRNA from 10 species